rnacentral:tRNA from 1 species
GCCGAAAUAGCUCAGUUGGGAGAGCGUUAGACUGAAGAUUUAAAGGUCCGUGGUUCAAUCCCGGGUUUCGGCA